rnacentral:rRNA from 1 species
GAUGAACGCUGGCGGCGUGCCUAAUACAUGCAAGUCGAGCGAACGGACGAGAAGCUUGCUUCUCUGAUGUUAGCGGCGGACGGGUGAGUAACACGUGGAUAACCUACCUAUAAGACUGGGAUAACUUCGGGAAACCGUAGCUAAUACCGGAUAAUAUUUUGAACCGCAUGGUUCAAAAGUGAAAGACGGUCUUGCUGUCACUUAUAGAUGGAUCCGCGCUGCAUUAGCUAGUUGGUAAGGUAACGGCUUACCAAGGCAACGAUGCAUAGCCGACCUGAGAGGGUGAUCGGCCACACUGGAACUGAGACACGGUCCAGACUCCUACGGGAGGCAGCAGUAGGGAAUCUUCCGCAAUGGGCGAAAGCCUGACGGAGCAACGCCGCGUGAGUGAUGAAGGUCUUCGGAUCGUAAAACUCUGUUAUUAGGGAAGAACAUAUGUGUAAGUAACUGUGCACACCUUGACGGUACCUAAUCAGAAAGCCACGGCUAACUACGUGCCAGCAGCCGCGGUAAUACGUAGGUGGCAAGCGUUAUCCGGAAUUAUUGGGCGUAAAGCGCGCGUAGGCGGUUUUUUAAGUCUGAUGUGAAAGCCCACGGCUCAACCGUGGAGGGUCAUUGGAAACUGGAAAACUUGAGUGCAGAAGAGGAAAGUGGAAUUCCAUGUGUAGCGGUGAAAUGCGCAGAGAUAUGGAGGAACACCAGUGGCGAAGGCGACUUUCUGGUCUGUAACUGACGCUGAUGUGCGAAAGCGUGGGGAUCAAACAGGAUUAGAUACCCUGGUAGUCCACGCCGUAAACGAUGAGUGCUAAGUGUUAGGGGGUUUCCGCCCCUUAGUGCUGCAGCUAACGCAUUAAGCACUCCGCCUGGGGAGUACGACCGCAAGGUUGAAACUCAAAGGAAUUGACGGGGACCCGCACAAGCGGUGGAGCAUGUGGUUUAAUUCGAAGCAACGCGAAGAACCUUACCAAAUCUUGACAUCCUUUGACAACUCUAGAGAUAGAGCCUUCCCCUUCGGGGGACAAAGUGACAGGUGGUGCAUGGUUGUCGUCAGCUCGUGUCGUGAGAUGUUGGGUUAAGUCCCGCAACGAGCGCAACCCUUAAGCUUAGUUGCCAUCAUUAAGUUGGGCACUCUAAGUUGACUGCCGGUGACAAACCGGAGGAAGGUGGGGAUGACGUCAAAUCAUCAUGCCCCUUAUGAUUUGGGCUACACACGUGCUACAAUGGACAAUACAAAGGGCAGCGAAACCGCGAGGUCAAGCAAAUCCCAUAAAGUUGUUCUCAGUUCGGAUUGUAGUCUGCAACUCGACUACAUGAAGCUGGAAUCGCUAGUAAUCGUAGAUCAGCAUGCUACGGUGAAUACGUUCCCGGGUCU